UACGGGGGGAGCAAGCGUUGUUCGGAUUUACUGGGCGUAAAGGGCGCGUAGGCGGCCUCCGCAAGUCGACUGUGAAAUCUCCGGGCUUAACCCGGAAAGGUCAGCCGAAACUGCGGGGCUAGAGUGCAGAAGGGGCAACUGGAAUUCUCGGUGUAGCGGUGAAAUGCGUAGAUAUCGAGAGGAACACCUGCGGCGAAGGCGGGUUGCUGGGCCGACACUGACGCUGAUGCGCGAAAGCCAGGGGAGCGAACGGG
rnacentral:rRNA from 1 species